AGCCCCACACACCCUCGCGCUUUCACAGUUCAACAGGAUUGCUCGAGAGAGAUCUGUUGCCCCCAAAACAAGGUUACUUUAGCCAUCACCACACCCACAUGGAACAUAAUGGGAAUUCUCAAGAUUUCUAAUUAAAUGGGAUUUCUGAGGCUAAUUCUCAAGUGUUCUGAGAAUUACAUCAGAAAGACAAGGCUCCGAGGACUGUUGUACCUGCACUGACAACUCGUUCAGGCCAGGGCCAUCCUGAUGUGACAUGACAGUGAGGAAGAGGCACUGUUGCUAUCUCUUAGCUGUGUGUGUUUACUACUGCUAAUCCCUAAGGAUGGAAAGUGAAACUCAGACUGAAAGAACCAGCUGCAAUAUCCAGUAGUUGCAUGUGAGCACUCCAACCCCCCUCCACAUGAAGAUCAACAAAAGUGCCUAAUGGGGGAAUAUGUUAAUACACUUCAUAAAAGGAAGGUGGAUUUUCCAAAAGUAUGCUGGAAAUGAAGGUAUUGCUGCUUGAGCCUCACAGGACUUGGAAAAGGUCUUGCGUCUGCAAAGAAGAGAGAGCACCAAGGAUGUCAGUGAAUGAGUGAGUGGCUGCUGACCCUCCGCGGAAAGGCGAGAGUUGGAAGAUGCCGUCCUCACCGCGUGCAGGUGCUGCAGCAAAUACACAGGAGCUGAGCUGUUUCAAAGCCCACAAGAAACACCACACAUCUCUGGACAUCGAACCUCCUAGUUGGAAGCGAGUGACAAACACAGGACAGUGCCUGGUCUCCACUCGUACCUUGGGUGCUGUGAUCCAAUUUUCAAUUACUUCUUUUAGCUUAGAGACACCACAAAAUUUUACUAUGGCAUGUUGGGUAUUGUCACUUAAGAAAGCUGAAGACCCCCUGAUAACGAUGUAAUUACUAUAAUCUCUGCAUUGAAUAUUUCAGAAACAAAAUUUCUAUGUAAGUGUGAAGAUAAACUUAAAAAGCUAGAAUUCACCUUUGAUGGAUGUAUUUUUAAUCUUGAUUACCAAACACUUUCCCAAGGUCUAGAGUUCUUUUUAUUGAAUCUAAGUGAGUAUUUCUAAGUGAGACUUUUUCUUGUUUUUC